GACGAACGCUGGCGGCGUGCCUAAUACAUGCAAGUAGAACGCUGAAGAGAGGAGCUUGCUCUUCUUGGAUGAGUUGCGAACGGGUGAGUAACGCGUAGGUAACCUGCCUUGUAGCGGGGGAUAACUAUUGGAAACGAUAGCUAAUACCGCAUAACAAUGGAUGACACAUGUCAUUUAUUUGAAAGGGGCAAUUGUUCCACUACAAGAUGGACCUGCGUUGUAUUAGCUAGUAGGUGAGGUAAUGGCUCACCUAGGCGACGAUACAUAGCCGACCUGAGAGGGUGAUCGGCCACACUGGGACUGAGACACGGCCCAGACUCCUACGGGAGGCAGCAGUAGGGAAUCUUCGGCAAUGGGGGCAACCCUGACCGAGCAACGCCGCGUGAGUGAAGAAGGUUUUCGGAUCGUAAAGCUCUGUUGUAAGUCAAGAACGGGUGUGAGAGUGGAAAGUUCACACUGUGACGGUAGCUUACCAGAAAGGGACGGCUAACUACGUGCCAGCAGCCGCGGUAAUACGUAGGUCCCGAGCGUUGUCCGGAUUUAUUGGGCGUAAAGCGAGCGCAGGCGGUUUGAUAAGUCUGAAGUUAAAGGCUGUGGCUCAACCAUAGUUCGCUUUGGAAACUGUCAAACUUGAGUGCAGAAGGGGAGAGUGGAAUUCCAUGUGUAGCGGUGAAAUGCGUAGAUAUAUGGAGGAACACCGGUGGCGAAAGCGGCUCUCUGGUCUGUAACUGACGCUGAGGCUCGAAAGCGUGGGGAGCGAACAGGAUUAGAUACCCUGGUAGUCCACGCCGUAAACGAUGAGUGCUAGGUGUUGGAUCCUUUCCGGGAUUCAGUGCCGCAGCUAACGCAUUAAGCACUCCGCCUGGGGAGUACGACCGCAAGGUUGAAACUCAAAGGAAUUGACGGGGGCCCGCACAAGCGGUGGAGCAUGUGGUUUAAUUCGAAGCAACGCGAAGAACCUUACCAGGUCUUGACAUCCCGAUGCUAUUUCUAGAGAUAGAAAGUUACUUCGGUACAUCGGUGACAGGUGGUGCAUGGUUGUCGUCAGCUCGUGUCGUGAGAUGUUGGGUUAAGUCCCGCAACGAGCGCAACCCCUAUUGUUAGUUGCCAUCAUUCAGUUGGGCACUCUAGCGAGACUGCCGGUAAUAAACCGGAGGAAGGUGGGGAUGACGUCAAAUCAUCAUGCCCCUUAUGACCUGGGCUACACACGUGCUACAAUGGUUGGUACAACGAGUUGCGAGUCGGUGACGGCGAGCUAAUCUCUUAAAGCCAAUCUCAGUUCGGAUUGUAGGCUGCAACUCGCCUACAUGAAGUCGGAAUCGCUAGUAAUCGCGGAUCAGCACGCCGCGGUGAAUACGUUCCCGGGCCUUGUACACACCGCCCGUCACACCACGAGAGUUUGUAACACCCGAAGUCGGUGAGGUAACCUUUUGGAG
rnacentral:rRNA from 1 species